rnacentral:lncRNA from 1 species
AUGAAGGGCCAGGAGGGCAUACCGGUCGAGACUCAUCAGUUAUUGAAAGACGUAGGGCAGGAUCUGACCGAUAAUCAGCUCCUGAAGGUGGCCGAAAAGCUGGGAAAGGAGUGGAAGCCGGCGGCCAUCUACCUGGGGCUGAAGCCCAAAGAUCUGGACGACAUCAUGGCAAAACAUAGAACUUUGCUUCAUGAUAAAUACAAGAUGUUGGUGCUGUGGAAGCACCGAAGACCACCAGGAAAGGCCAAAGCACAGGACCUGCUGAGAGGCCUGGAAAAACUGAAGGACCUACCGGUCGAGGCUCGUCAGUUAUUGAAAGAACUUGUGCAGAAUCGUUCUAAACCUGGUAAGAAGAAGAAGCCGUCAUGCAGUAGCGCACAGGGGAGCCAUCCUGGUGAGCUGUCCUCGUCUCCGCCCCUCAAAAAGCCUGCUAGUGACGGGAUGCUGGGACCUGUACAGAAUCGAUCUAAACCUGUUAAGAAGAAGCUGUCAUGCAGUAGCGGACAGGGGAGCCUUCCUGGUGAGCUGUCCUCAUCUCUGCCCCUCAAAAUGCCGGCUAGUGACGGGAUGCUGGGAAAUUUAUCCGACCCGACGGUGGGAAAGCCAAGAAAAUCAAAAAGAGGGGAGCUUCAAGGGAUCCAUUCUGAAUUUGUGAAGAAAGUUAAAAUCUCAGUUAUCAGAGGUCUCCUGGGUGACCUUUGGCAGCAGAAAGUGUUCAGUACUGAGGACAAAGACUCUGUGAUGGAGAAGGGGAAGAUCAAAACGGACAUAGCAAGGUGUCUGAUCGACAUGGUUAUCAGGAAAGGGGAGAAAGCAAGUCGGAUAAUGAUUGAUAGUAUGAAGAAGAGGGACCCUGACUUAUGCUCCACCCUGGGUCUGAUCGCUUCUCCUGCUGGUUUGGGAAAUAAAGGCGACAAGACGUUGGUAAAGCCAACGAAACAAAACAAAGGAAAUGGAGGCCAGAAAAGAAUUGGAAGUAAAUCAGAAGAAGUGGCCAAUAAGAAACCUUGCACGGUUGAUGUGUCAGAAAGCAUCACUGAAACCCGCUCCACAGGGCAGACUCUGACUGAAAAGGAGCUCAUGAAUGUGGCCAAAACGCUGGGAAAUGAGUGGGAGCAGAUUGCCAUCCAUCUGGAAAUAACGACCAAAGCUUUGGAGAACAUCAAGGCAGAACAUAGAUCUGUGGCCAUGCAGAAGCUGAACAUGUUGGUGCUGUGGACGCGCCGAAGACCACCAGGAGAGGCCACAGCUCAGGACCUGCUGAAAGGUCUGGAAGACCUGGAGGACCUACCGGUCGAGACUCGUCGGUUAUUGACAGACUUGAUGAAGUCGUAG